rnacentral:misc_RNA from 1 species
AAGUCGUAACAAGGUUUCCGUAGGUGAACCUGCGGAAGGAUCAUUAACACGUAUCCACGUAUCUACCUCUUGCGAACUUGUUUUGUUUUGUAGUCGUGCUCAGGUAUUUUAUCAAGGAAGUAGAUGGCCAUGUCAGGAGACAAAAUUCAUUUUUUUUUUUCUUGUUCUACUUGCCUUCCACCCAAUGUUUUGAGUGCUGGUGUAUUGAGAUCCUGUGAUGCCUUUUGUGGGCGUCCACAGUUUCCUACUAGCAGAACGCUCCUUGGGAUGGGUAUCUGGCGUGACUCGAAUCAUGGUGGUUAUUCACUAUUAACCCCUUUUUUUUAAAAUUUUUGUCUCAGUGUGAGUGGGUGGUGCCGCUUUGCGGUGCGCCCUCCUCAUCAAAAAAAAAUAACAAAGAUACAACUCUUAGCAACGGAUAUCUAGGUUCU